rnacentral:tRNA from 1 species
GGGGUUGUAGCUCAGCUGGGAGAGCGCCGCGUUCGCAAUGCGGAGGUCGAGGGUUCGAUCCCCUUCAACUCCACCA